GAGAAGACGAGGCUCUCGCAUAACUGACUCUCCCUGUGGCACGACUGAACAGAGGCGGUGAGCGAAGGCCGACGGUUGGGUGGAUGCGGGAGGCGAGGGGGGUUUUAAGAAAUAACGCGAGAGCCGGCGCAGAGGGAGAAAGUGAGCGUGAGCUCUCUUUGUCUCUGACUUUACAAGGAUAGUUAUCUGGCUCCGUUUCCACGGGAGCAGCCAGCCAGAGGAGCCCUGAAGUCGCAGAGAAGAGGAAAGUAACGUCAGGUGUGCAGGGGGGGGGACAGGACGGGCCCCAAGGUUGGGCUGCGAGGGUGUGUAAUUGAAUGAAUGGAAUGGCGUACUACUCCACGCUCCAUUAUUCCACCUGGACCUCGGACAGAGAGGAAGGCCCGGAGGAAGCAUCGACAUGGGAGCCAUUGCGGGGAAGCGACCGGAAUGCAGUGACACGAACCUACAAAUGAGAAAAAGGGAAAAAUAGAUUUGUUAU
ensembl:lncRNA